AGGGGCGUAGCUCAAUUGGCAGAGCAGCCGUCUCCAAAGCGGCAGGUUGAGCGUUCGACUCGCUCCGCCCCUG
rnacentral:tRNA from 2 species